GUGAAUCAUCAAAUCUUUGAACGCAAAUUGCACUUUCUGGUAUUCCAGAAAGUAUGCCUGUUUGAGGGUCAGUUAAAUAAAAAUCGGUGUUGAUGUUGCUUUUCGUGGUGACGCGUCGGAAUUGAGUUGUUUUACUUUUGGUUAAGGGACUUAAAAUUUUGCAUGAUUUUCAAACGUAUUAAAAUUCAUUACGUAUGUUUGAGAUAUUGAAUAUUUUAUUAGGUUCGUUUAUCCUCAUGAUUC
rnacentral:misc_RNA from 1 species